CCUAAAGGCAAGCCUAUGAUCAGGAGCAAUUCACCUCAGGUGCGUUAGCUCGGACGCCAAAGACUGCUGCGUGUGGCGUUCGGUGGAUCUAUGCUCACUAGACAUAGCAGAAGCAUCCAGGCACCUGUUUGGCCUCAUCAGUAAAGUGUGUGUCCUCGAUUCUUCAAGGAGGACCCUGGCAUGUGUCACUGUUUUUUCCCCUUUCUAAUUAGUAUUUCAAGAGUUUAUAGUUUUUAUUUAUUUAUGAAGUUAAUGGGAUUGUGCAAUUUGUGGGGCUGGCGUUUGCUGUGAUUUUAACCAAAGUGGCUUGUAGUGUUGCCGUGUUUCCAGUGUUCUGUUAAGCAGGCUACUGAUUAUUAAAAUGGUUUGUUUUUAAAUUAUACCAGCCCCACUAACUAGGAUUUCUUGCACAUGCACUUUCCCGUUUCUGUCUUUUGUUUCUUUUAUUCAAAAUAAAUGCAUUGUUUUGAUCCAGUCCUAGCCUCUUGUUCAGUUUAUUCGGAACAU